rnacentral:rRNA from 1 species
GGUAUACUGUUAUCCCAGCUGGAAUGUACCUGAUUUCAUCUGAUCUAGGAAUCUAAGGAGGGUUGGGCCUAGUUAGUAUUUAGGCAGAAACUAUUAGUAUCAAUUAUCU